rnacentral:rRNA from 1 species
UACGUAGGGGGCUAGCGUUGUCCGGAAUCAUUGGGCGUAAAGCGCGUGUAGGCGGCCCGGUAAGUCCGCUGUGAAAGUCGGGGGCUCAACCCUCGAAAGCCGGUGGAUACGGUCGGGCUAGAGUGCAGAAGGGGCAAUCGGAAUUCUUGGUGUAGCGGUGAAAUGCGUAGAUAUCAAGAGGAACACCUGAGGUGAAGACGGGUUGCUGGGCUGACACUGACGCUGAGGCGCGAAAGCCAGGGGAGCAAACGGG